rnacentral:lncRNA from 1 species
AGUGUUGAACCUGAUCAACGAAGUACUGGAUGUUGAUCCUGGUUACCUGUGUCUGCAUCAUUAUAUGAUGCAGGCCAACUGGCAUCAGUACAUUGAAUGUACGAGUAUACGAGUUGGAAUGCUAAACAUAACAUAGGCUUGAAAAGAUUCUGAAAGAUACACUUACCUUGGCUCUUCUCAACUCCUGAAUAACUUAACUCAUAAUAAAGCAAUAAGACAGAUACAAUAUAUGAAAAGUUUUAUAAAACGGUAAAAGCAACUUAGUUCGUUAAACAAAAAUGCAAUAACAAACUCAAUUUUACUCAUAUAACAAAGUAAUAUAGUUUCUGUGGGAGAUUCUCUAACCGACAACCACCANNNNNNNNNNNNNNNNNNNNNNNNNNNNNNNNNNNNNNNNNNNNNNNNNNNNNNNNNNNNNNNNNNNNNNNNNNNNNNNNNNNNNNNNNNNNNNAGAACUGUCCUAUACUUUGUCGUCAUAUAGAACGCUUAACUUAGUGGAUCCACUAGUCUAUGCUAAAAGCAUCUUAAGGAGUCAUCUAAAAAGUAUGAUCAUUUACUACCCAUGAUGGCUACAUGGUUUAUGGAGACUUGAGUUAAUAUGAACUCGCAUUCCCAUAUCGGUGCUUAAUACUACUCCCAAAAUAUACUUAGCUCAGAUGAUUUAAAAUCAAAACUUCUUUCUUUUGUUACAGAUAAUUACUCAAAACUUUACCUUAAAAGCUCUCUUGGAAAUCGAUGUUUCCCUUUCUUAUUCAAAUGUGAAAACAUUUAAAACUCUUAGGAAUACUUAGUUCCCUUAUAGCUUUUUGAGAAAUGAACUCAAAUAUUUACUCUUUGCUUAACUUGAAACUUAAGUCUUAAAACAAGGUUAAAACGUUUGUUAAAUACUUUUGAAAACUUUAUAAACUUUGUUUUGACUUGUUUCUUAACUUCUAGACUUGACUCUUAACUUCUCUUGACUUUGAUCUUAACUUUCCUUGAAUUGGAUUAUGGAUUCAAGGUUCAUGAUCUCAUGUUUAUGGAUGAUUUCAUGAUGUUUAGAUGUACCUUAGAGUGUUGGAAUCAACUAGAAAAUAUAGGUACAUUGCUAAGUAUUAAGUACUAAAAGGUGGGAAACGAAUGGUGAGAAUUGGCGUCCCUGGCGCUCUGAGAGGUGCGGGGCGCCAACCCUCAAACUUCAGAGAACAUGUUGGGGAGCUCUGGCUGGUACAUCGCCCCAAGGGGUAAACUUCAGAGACCCUUUUGGGGGAAGCUGGCUGGCGCGACACCCCACCCCCUUCCCCAUGUGUUUGACGACUUUUCUUGCUCGUUUUUCACCUCUAAACCCUCUAAAAUUCAAUGGUUAUUUCUCCAAACACUUAGAAUCAUUAAUACCCUCAAGAUACAAUAGAUUCAACUAAAAAUUACACCCGGAAACAUGAAUUAAAUCAUCAAGAAACUUCAACAACACAACCCACAAGAAUUCAACGAAACUUUCAAGAAUGUUCAUCAAGAACUCAAUUUCUAAACUUUCAAAGACUUAAAUUCGCUGAAUUGAAUCAUGGUUGGCGCGUGGGCAAACUAUCCCAAUGCUAUGUGAUCUCACAUACCUUGUAGGGAUCACCCCCGAUGAAAUCCACAAGCUAACCUCGACGAAAUCGACGAAUCUUGAUAGUUCUUCUCCUUUCUCCUUUUUUCUCCUCUUCUCUAAGCCCUAGCGUAAAAUUCACUUUUCUAAACUGACUAAAAUCUGAAUUUACCCCAAUUAAACUCCUAAAAAAUGAAUUAGAAUAAUUAGGUAAGGAAAACACUAAAUUAUCCUUCCAAAAAUCCGGAUUAGACUUUCCAUAAUCCAACAGCCCAACUUCCAAAGGGAAUAACUUACUCAUACGAACUCAGAAUCGCACAAACUCGGUGGCGUUGGAAAUAUCAUUCCAAGAGAUUUCCAACCAUAUCUUGAAGUACACCUAAAUCAUCCUGAGCUAGGAGCUAUGGUCGCUUGAAGUUGACUAAAACUCAAUUUUUCCUAACUUAAACAAAUUUCCAGACUUUCAUUGUUUCCAAAAAUGACUAUUUCCAAUUAUUAGCUUCUUCCUAGUUAUUUCAAAUUGCAAGAUGUUACAGUAAUCUGAAUGCUAAGUCAAGUUGUGACUAACCAGGUUGGGCAACAAAGAGGGGCUUGAAUGAAAGUGGCUGAUCAUACUUCGAGGAUCUGUGAGUUCUUGAGGAUGAAUCCUCCAAGCUUCACUGACUCAAGCACUAUUGAGGAUCCAAAGAGUUUUGUUGAGGAACAGCAAAAGGUGUUUGAGGUUAUGCAUGUUGUUGAUGUUGAGCGAGUGGAACUAGUUGCAUAUCAACUGAAGAGUGUUGGUAGGACUUGGUUUGAUCAGUGGAAGAAGAGUACGGUUGAGGAUGCACUGAUUUUGAGUAGGUUGUGUUCGAGAGUGCUUUCUUGGGGCGUUUCUUUCCUCGUGAACUGAGGGAAGCCAAGGUACGGUAAUUCCUCACCCUUAAGCAGGAUUCAUCGAGUGUUCAUGAGUACAGUUUAAAGUUCACCCAACUUUCCUGAUAUGCUCCAGAGAUGGUCACUGAUAUAAGGAGCAGGAUGAGUCUGUUUGUCACUGGAUUGUCUCGUCUGUCAAGCAAGGAGGCAAGGCAGCUAUGCUAAUAGGGGACAUGGACAUAGCGAGACUUAUGGUAUAUGUGCAGCAAGUUUAGGAAGAGAAGUUGAGGGAUAGAGAAGAAUUCAGAAACAAGAAAGCUAAGACAGGGAAUAAGUCUGGGCAGCAAAGGGGUAAUGUGAACCGUUCUUCCUUUCAACCUAAGCAAAAAGGACCUGCUCCAUCAUCUGCUAGUGCACCUGCACCAAAGAACAAAGGUGAGUAUAAUACUCAGAAUUUCAGAGCUAGACCUGCUCAGUCUCAAGGUAGUGUGGCACAAAGAGGUAAUUGGGUUCCUACAUGUGCUAAGUGUGGUAGGAACCAACCAGGUAAAUGUCGUGAUGGCUCCACUGGUUUUUUCAAGUGUGGUCAAGAGGGUCACUUCAUGAAAGAGUGCGCUAAGAACCGGCAAGGCAAUGGGAAUCAAGGCAAUAGAGCUCAAUCUUCAUCAGUUGCUCCACUAGACAUAGCUGCAUCUAGAGGAGCUACUUCAGGUACUGGCGGAGGAUCAAACCGUCUAUAUUCUAUCACUAGUCGUCUAGAGCAAGAGAAUUCUACAUAUGUUGUCACUGGUAUGAUCAAAGUCUUUACUCUUGAUGUUUAUGCUUUGCUAGACCUAGGAGAGAGUUUAUCUUUUGUGACUCCUGUUGGGGAGUCUAUUCUAGUUGAGUGAGUCUAUCGUAAUUGUACUAUUUCCGUCAAUCACAAGAGCGCCAUGGAUGAUUUAGUUGAGUUAGACAUGGUUGAUUUUGAUGUUAUUCUUGGCUGGCUACAUGCCUGUUAUGCCUCCAUUGAUUGUAGGACUCGAGUUGUCAAGUUUCAGUUUCCUAAUGAGCCAGUUAUAGAGUGAAGUAGUAGUUCAGCAGUGCCUAAGGGUCGUUUCAUUUCGUACCUUAAGGUCAGAAAGUUAGUUUCCAAGGGUUGUGUCUAUAACUUAGUCCAAGUUAAUAACUCUAGUGUCGAGACACCUCUUAUUGAGUCAGUUCCAAUUGUGAGUGAGUUUCCAGAAGUCUUUCCUGACGAUCUACCCGGAGUUCCUUCUGAGAGAGAAAUAGAUUUCGGUAUAGAUCUUCUUCCCGAUACUCAUCAUAUAUCUGUUAACUGCCAUAUAGAAUGGCUCCAGCAGAGUUAAAAGAGCUAAAACGAAUAGUUGAAAAGAUUCUCUUUUGAUAAGGGUUUUAUUGACCAAGUGUCUCACCUUGGGGCGCUCGGUCUUAUUUGUGAGGAAGAAAGAUGGGUUACUCUUAGAAUGUGUAUAGAUUACCGUCAGUUGAACAAAGUUACUAUCAAGAAUAAGUAUCCUCUUCCGAGAAUUGAUGAUCUCUUCGGUCAACUUCAGAGUGCCACUUGUUACUCUAAGAUAGACCUCAGAUAUGGCUACCAUCAGUUAAGAGUAAGGGAAUGUGAUAUUCCAAAGAUCGCAUUCAGGACCCGUUAUGGUCAUUAUGAGUUCCUAGUUAUGUCCUUUGGUUUGACUAAUGCGCCUGCAGCAUUCAUGGACCUUAUAAAUAGAGUAUUCAAGCCUUAUUUAGAUAUGUUUGUUACCGUGUUCAUUGAUGACAUACUAAUCUAUUUGAGGAAUGAGGAAGAUCAUGCUAGCUAUCUCAGAAUAGUUCUCCAGACUCUAAAGGAUAAGGAGUUGUAUGAUAAGUUCUCUAAAUGUGAGUUUUGGCUUGAGUCUGUGGCAUUCUUGGGUCACAUUGUUUACAGUGAUGGGAUUAGAGUUGACAGUCAGAGAAUAGAGGCAGUGCAGAAUUGGCCUAGACCCACAUCUCCAACUGAUAUUUGGAGUUUCUUGGGGUUGGUUGGAUAUUAUAGAAGGUUCAUAGAGGGGUUCUCAUCUAUUUCGUCCCCUUUGACCAUGUUGACUUAGAAAAUAGUGAAGUUUCAAUAGUCUGAAGUUUGUGAGAAAAGCUUUCAGGAAUUGAAAAGGAGGUUGACUACAGCCCUAGUAUUUACCUUAGCAGAAGGUACUCAAGGUUUUGUUGUGUAUUGUGAUGCUUCCAGAUUUGGUUUGGGUUGUGUGUUAAUGCAGAAUGAUAAAGUUAUAGCGUAUGCCUCCAGACAGCUAAAAGUUCACAAGAAGAAUUAUCCAACCCAUGACCUAGAAUUGGCUGUCGUAGUGUUCAUGUGGAUGUGUUCGCCGAUCACAAAAGUCUUCGGUAUGUGUUUAGUCAGAAAGAGAUUAAUCUCAGACAGAGGAGGUGGUUAGAGUUACUCAAGGAUUAUGACAUGAGUAUUCUUUAUCACCCAGGUAAGGCUAACGUUUUUGUUGAUGCAUUGAGUAGGAUAUUUAUGGGUAGUACCGCCCAUGUGGAGGAAGAAAAGAGAGAGUUAGCUAAAGAUGUACAUAGACCUGCACGAUUAGGAGUUCGCCUAAUGGAUUCCACUGAAGGAGGAGUAGUUGUGAUUAAUGGAGCUGAAUCAUCAUUAGUGUCUGAAGUUAAAGAAAAACAAGACCAAGACCCUAUUUUUCUUGAAUUGAAGGCAAGUGUUCAUAAGCAAAAAGUAAUGGCUUUUGAACAAGAGGGAGAUGGCGUUUUGAGGUAUCAAGGUAGGUUGUGUGUACCAAGGGUGGAUGAACUCUAAGAGAGGAUCAUGGAGAAAGCUCAUAGCUCCAAAUAUUCCAUUCAUCCAGGUUUCACAAAGAUGUAUCGUGACUUGAGAGAAGUUUAUUGGUGGAAUAGUAUGAAGAAAGGUAUCGCAGAGUUUGUUGCUAAGUAUCUGAAUUGCCAACAAGUUAAGGUAGAGCAUCAAAGGCCCAGUGGUAUGGCUCAGAAUAUAGAGAUUCCGGAAUAGAAGUGGGAGAUGAUCAAUAUGGACUUCAUUACUGGGUUGCCUCGGUCUCGCAGGAAACAUGAUUCUAUUUGGGUGAUUGUUGAUAGAAUGACAAAAUCAGCCCACUUUUUACCGGUAAAGACUACCCAUUCAGUAGAGGAUUAUGCCAAGUUGUAUCUUCAAGAGGUGGUUAGACUUCAUGGAGUUCCAGUUUUAAUUAUUUCAGAUAGAGGUACCCAAUUUACUGCAUAGUUUUGGAAGUCUUUCCAGAAAGGUUUGGGUUCGAAGGUGAACUUAAGUAUUGUUUUUCAUCCUCAGACAGAUGGUCAAGCAGAGCGCACUAUUCAUACUCUAGAAGAUAUGUUGAGGGCCUGUGUGAUUGAUUUCAAAGGUAACUGGGAUGAUCACCUACCUCUCAUUGAGUUUGCUUAUAACAAUAGUUACCACUCUAGCAUCCAGAUGGCUCCGUAUGAAGCUCUUUAUGGGAGAAGAUGCAGAUCUCCAAUUGGAUGGUUUGAGGUUGGUGAAGCUGGGUUGAUAGGACCAGACUUAGUUCAUCAAGCUAUGGAGAAAGUGAAAGUUAUUUAAGAGAGGUUGAAAACAACGCUGAGUCAUCAGAAAUCUUACAAUGAUGUUAGGAGAAGGGAGUUAGAGUUUGAGGUAUAUGAUUGGGUAUACUUGAAAGUUUCACCCAAGAAGGGUGUUAUGAGAUUUGGUAAAAAGGGGAAGCUUUGUCCCCGGUAUAUUGGCUCUUAUAGAAUAUACAAAAGGAUUGGUAAUGUAGCUUAUGAAUUGGAGCUACCACAUGAGUUAGUAGCGGUCCAUCUGGUAUUUCACAUUUCCAUGUUGAAGAAGUGCAUGGGAGAUCCUUCACUUAUCAUACCAACUGAAGCUAUUGGUAUCAAGGAUAGCUUGUCUUAUGAGGAGAUCACUGUUCAGAUUCUAGACCAUCAGGUUCGCAAGUUGAAGACCAAGGAAGUAGCAUCGGCCAAAGUUCUUUGGAGAAAUCAGUUUGUUAAGGGAGAUACUUGGGAAGCUGAGGAGGAUAUGAAGAAGAGGCAUCCACACCUCUUUGAUCCAGGAGAAAUUCCAGACCAAGGUACUAAUUCUUUUCUUAGUACUCUUUAAUUGAUAUGCUUAAUGUGUUAAAUUUGUUUGUUGGGUGUUUGAGUUGAAUAUUAGAUGUUACACCAUUAGUCUACUUAGAGUGAUCUCAUUUGAGGACGAAUGUUCCCAAGGGGGAGAUAUUGUAACACCUCCCUAAGUGAAAGAGUUAGAAUUAGAAAGAUUCAUUUUUGGAAAGAAUGAAAAAUCUAGAAAUUUGUUUAAGUGAUGUUAAGCUUGAGUUUUGGGUCAACUUCAAACGACCAUAACUCCUAUCUUAUGAUGAGUUAGGUGUGCUACUAGAUACCGUAGGAAAGAUCUUUGAAUUACCUUUCCAAUAACGCUGCUGAGUUUGCUCAAUUCUGAGUUCGUAUGAGGGAGAUAUGGCCAUUAAAAGUUGGGUUGUCUAGUUAAGGAAAGUCAAAACCGGAUUUUAGAAGGGUAUUAUGGUCUUUUCACUACACAAUUUAUUAAAUUUGUUUUUGGUAAUUAAGUUGGGGUCUCAACUGAUAGGAUUCAGUUUACGCUAUUGAAAACAAGUUAGGGUUUUGAGAUAAGAGAUAAGAAGAGGAGAAAGGAGGAGAAGAAGCAAGGAUUUGUCGCGUUCUUGAAGUUAAGCUCGUUGAUUUCGCCAAGGGUUGAUCCCUACGAGAUAUGUGAGAUCACAUAGCAUUGGGUUAGUUCACCCACGCGCCAAACAUGAUUAAAUUCGGCGUAUUUGUGUUCUUGAAAGAAAAGCUUAUGAGUUCUUGAUGAAUUUUGUUGAAGUUUCGUUUGAAUCUCGAUUGUGGAGUUUUUGGAGGAGUUCUUGAUGUGAUUUAACGAGAUUUAAGGUUGUUUUUUAGUUUAUUCUUGUAUAUUUUGGUUAUGUAUUCAAAUCUAAGCAUUUGGGGAAGGAACCAUUUGAAUCUAGAGGGUUUAGAGUUGAAAAAUGAGCAAGAAAGUUCGGGGAUUUCUGGGGAGGGGUCUGGGGAGUCGCGCCAGCCAGAGCUCCCCACUUUGUGCUCUGUAGUUUGAGCUCUGGGGCGCCGCGCCAGCCAGUGCGCUCCAUCCCUAGUUCUGAAGUUUUCCCUCUGGCUCCCCGCGCCACUCAGAAGUGUCUGGAAACUGUUUGCAGAAGUUGCUGGAAUACAAGUCUAAACAUGCUUUAAUACUAGGUGUGAAUAGAAUGAUUCACUUGUUGGUUAAGGUAAGAUAUUCAUGGCUGAAGGAAAUAACUAAUACUUGGCCACUGCUUGUUAAACAUUUGGAAGAGUAUACUCCUUUAAAUUGUUGCAAGGUGGUGACUUGGAAACUACCAUCUCGGGGAGGAUUUUUAAAGGUAAUACUGAUGGGUGUAGCAAAGGGAAUCCCGGUCUUAGUGCAGUGACAUUUUGUAUUAGGAAUGAUGAAGGUGAUCUGAUAAAUGCUGAAGCAAAGAAAAUAGGGGAAGCUUCAGCGAUCGAAGCUGGAAUGAAAGCAGUGAAACUGGGUCUAGAGUAUUGUGUUCAAAAGGGUUAUCUACCAUUAACUAAUUAAACUGAUUCAUUGAUUACUAAAAAUAUCAUAGAUGGAGUUUGGGACGUUCCUUGGAUUUUUACUAUGGAUGUGAAAAGCACAAAGGUUUCAAUGCACAGUAGGAACGUGGAGGUGAUUCACACAUUCAGAGAAAGGAAUAAACUAGCUGAUUUUUUUAACUAACAAUGCUAUUCAUUUUGCAGGUAUAGAUACAAAGAGAUAUUUUCACAUACAUGAGUUACCAAAAAUAGCACAAGCCAUCAUUCAAUUGGAAAAGAAUCAAAUCCCAAAUUUGAGAAUAACAAAAGAUGCAAAACAAAGGCUUUACCAGAAAUGCACAUAAUACAAGCAGAUACACAGGGCAUGACAUGAACAACAACAAGGAAACAAAUUAAGGACAAGGGUAUUACAUUACAACAACAAGAAAUUAAAAUCGCUGAUCUUAGAGCUCAAUAAAGUGUUGAGUACGUUCAUUUCUGUUAUAAGAUCGAGAUUAGGGUGCUUACCUCUCUAGUCAUAUAUGGUGGUAUUAGCUUCUUCGGAGCUCAUCCCGUGUAAGAUCGAUGAGAUACGGAGAAAGAUGCUCUAAAAUUGAUGAUGAGCUGAAAUGGACGUCUAAACGAAUCUUUCCAUAAAGUGAUUUGUGUGAGGUCGUCUUCAUCUUGCAGCUCUAUCUCAGAUAAUAUUUUCACUCAUCAAGCUGAAGAAGUCUUCCUAGGUGUUGAAUCAUGGCCUCAGUGAGAGCUUUUGACGUAUAAGUGAUUUCACUCUGAAAUCGGAGGCGUUGAAGAUUUCAGCUGGUCUAGUGGAUACGGUGAGGGCGAUCAAUUGGCCAACUUUCCAUCGGAGAAGAUGAAGCUUCAUCUGGAGAUUUGAGGAAAGUCAGUUGACCUUUUUGGGGAUUCAAUUUCCAAAUGGGUUUCACUGCUUUGUUAUUUAAUUUUGUUGUUUCAUUUCUCAGGUUUGGGCCUUUUGGGUCUUGAGUCUUGAC